rnacentral:rRNA from 1 species
AUUGAACGCUGGCGGCAGGCCUAACACAUGCAAGUCGAGCGGAUGAGAAGAGCUUGCUCUUCGAUUCAGCGGCGGACGGGUGAGUAAUGCCUAGGAAUCUGCCUGGUAGUGGGGGACAACGUUUCCAAAGGAACGCUAAUACCGCAUACGUCCUACGGGAGAAAGCAGGGGACCUUCGGGCCUGGCGCUAUCAGAUGAGCCUCGGUCGGAUUAGCUGGUUUGUGAGGUAAUGGCUCACCAAGGCGACGAUCCGUAACUGGUCUGAGAGGAUGAUCAGUCACACUGGAACUGAGACACGGUCCAGAGUCCUACGGGAGGCAGCAGUGGGGAAUAUUGGACAAUGGGCGAAAGCCUGAUCCAGCCAUGCCGCGUGUGUGAAGAAGGUCUUCGGAUUGUAAAGCACUUUAAGUUGGGAGGAAGGGCAGUAAGUUAAUACCUUGCUGUUUUGACGUUACCGACAGAAUAAGCACCGGCUAACUCUGUGCCAGCCGCCGCCGUAAAAC